UACGGAGGGGGCUAGCGUUGUUCGGAAUUACUGGGCGUAAAGCGCACGUAGGCGGCUUUGUAGGUUAGAGGUGAAAGCCCAGGGCUUAACCCUGGAAUUGCCUUUAAGACUGCAUCGCUAGAAUCGUGGAGAGGUGAGUGGAAUUCCGAGUGUAGAGGUGAAAUUCGUAGAUAUUCGGAAGAACACCAGUGGCGAAGGCGACUCACUGGACACGUAUUGACGCUGAGGUGCGAAAGCGUGGGGAGCAAACAGG
rnacentral:rRNA from 1 species